CCUACGGGAGGCAGCAGUGAGGAAUAUUGGUCAAUGGACGAGAGUCUGAACCAGCCAAGUAGCGUGAAGGAUGACUGCCCUAUGGGUUGUAAACUUCUUUUAUAUGGGAAUAAAAUGUUCCACGUGUGGGCUUUUGUAUGUACCAUAUGAAUAAGGAUCGGCUAACUCCGUGCCAGCAGCCGCGGUAAUACGGAGGAUCCGAGCGUUAUCCGGCUUUAUUGGGUUUAAAGGGAGCGUAGGUGGAUUGUUAAGUCAGUUGUGAAAGUUUGCGGCUCAACCGUAAAAUUGCAGUUGAAACUGGCAGUCUUGAGUACAGUAGAGGUGGGCGGAAUUCGUGGUGUAGCGGUGAAAUGCUUAGAUAUCACGAAGAACUCCGAUUGCGAAGGCAGCUCACUGGACUGCAACUGACACUGAGGCUCGAAAGUGUGGGUAUCAAACAGGAUUAGAUACCCUUGUAGUC
rnacentral:rRNA from 1 species